GGAGUCCGAUACGCGCCAGAAGCCAUCUUCUCCUAUUAACUUCUCCGGAAAACCGGAGUUACUAUUCACUUAAGUGAUUAGUAUUUAUCACGUAACUUCUCCGUUCUAACUCAUUUCCUUCUGAAACUUGACGAGUGCUUAUGUAAUUAAAUUACACACAUAAACAUCAUCAACAGAGAGUCUAAUUGCACUAUCAAAAUCUCAGUCCUUACAAUAACUGAACUGAAAACAACUGCGAUAA
rnacentral:lncRNA from 1 species